GAUUUAUUUCAACUGAAUUAGGGAAGAACAACAUGACAAAUAAGGGAUGUUUAUACUUUAUAAUCUGUUGGAGGAGGGCUUUGUGCCAAAUGCCAGUUUUAUACCCUUCUGAUAUAUCACUUCUUAAAGGAGGGGAAGAGCUUGAAUUUGCUUAUAGAUUUGUUGAUUUGAUGGAAAGAAAACAGAUUGAAUGUGAUAUGAUCAUGUAUAUUGCAUUGGUCACCCCUGAGAGGAAGCUGGUGUUCUGUGAAUUGUGGGUCUGAAAGGGCAAGACCCCAGGGAAAGCAAUAAUUCAUUGUAAUUCUCACAAACUACUUCAUGGGUCAUAAUGGUCACAUUUAAUGCAUAAUGGGUGUUUUUCUCAAGUCUGGUUUCUUGUGAAAACAACUGAAAUGUCUUUAGAGCAUUCUUGCCUUCAAAGUAUUUGAAGAAAUGUUUGCCAAUGAUUUUGUACUUAAGUGCUUUGCUUAUAUAGCUGUAAUUGCUUACUUUGCAUCUUAAGUGGAGAGGAUCGGAUGUAUGAAGCUCAUAUACUAAUUGAUGUGGUGCUUAGGAUAUGAGAAUAUCUAGAUGAAAUGGCAAAGACUGUUGUGGUGGAAGCAUGGGCUGGGAAAAAAUUUCAGGAUUGAGAAAAAUAUCAUUGUUGGGUAGUUCUAUAACAUUAUCAUAUAUGGUGCAAUACAUCUGGAGCUUGGCAGUAAGGGACUUUUCUUAUGGGUAACUCCAUAUUCCUUGAAUGACAUAGUCUGUUUUUCCUGUUGUGCUUCUGUAUUAAUAUUGUUGUUUCUAGAUGCAGCCAUGAUUAUUGGGUGUUGAAUAUUAGCCACGUGGACUAUUUAUAUCAGUAAAUUUCCCAGGGAAGAUUGAAGUUUAGACACUCUUUUCUGGUUGAUGACCAAGGGGUUCUUCAGUGUGCAGCAGUCUUGUUCAAAUAAUGAGAGGAUCAUAAAGAGAAGUGAAAGCAAAAAAGCGCCUUUUUCCCCCUUGUAUUCUGAGGAUAAACAUUCACAAAUAGAUGGAUCGAUACACGCAAAUGGGAGAUGCUGUCAAGAAUGAAACAAGAAGAUGAUGAUAGUUGCAAUGUGGUGUAUAGAGUUGAAGACCGAGGACCGUCCUUCAAUAUCAAAGGCUUCAAGAUGAUCAAAGGGGAUGUUAAAUGCUUGAAAAUCCUAACCAGGCCUUCUUUAUGUUCUCUGGAAACAUCAUUGAAGAUCAUAAGAAGAAUUCCGAUGGGGAUAAUGAUUUCAUCACAUGAUGCCAUGGACACAAUAAUCUUAGAAAGAAGGGAAUUGAGUAGUCUAGUUUGUUAUGUCUCUAUUGCUAGCAAGGCUGGCUGUUCCAAUAUUAAUGAUGCCCCUAAAUAACAGCCUCAAUGCACAGAGUGAUCCAAACACUUUGAGGGUGAAUGAAAACAGAGAUUCAAAAGCCACAUUUGGGUUGAGGGUAACAGAGAAAGUUAAAGGCUGCAUUCUAAUCUCAAGAGAGGGAUGGCUGCAUUUUAAUCUUGAGAGAGGGAUCAGAGGAAAGCAGAUGCAACAUUUUGGCACAAAGAGGAAAAGUUUUGUAAUCCUGAGAGAAGGAAUGGAGAAACAUAAAUGUUGUGUUUUUCGUGAGAACUUUCUCAGUUUUGGUUUUAUCAUUUUGCAUCCUUGAUAUUGUUGU